GUAGGUGGCAAGCGUUGUCCGGAAUUAUUGGGCGUAAAGCGCGCGCAGGCGGUCCUUUAAGUCUGAUGUGAAAGCCCACGGCUCAACCGUGGAGGGUCAUUGGAAACUGGGGGACUUGAGUACAGAAGAGGAAAGCGGAAUUCCAAGUGUAGCGGUGAAAUGCGUAGAGAUUUGGAGGAACACCAGUGGCGAAGGCGGCUUUCUGGUCUGUAACUGACGCUGAGGCGCGAAAGCGUGGGGAGCAAACAGGGAUUAGAUACCCUGGUAGUCCACGCCGUAAACGAUGAGUGCUAAGUGUUAGGGGGUUUCCCGCCCCAUAGUGCUGCAGCUAACGCAUUAAGCACUCCGCCUGGGGAUACGGCCGCAAGGCUG
rnacentral:rRNA from 1 species